AGAUUAAGUUAUUAAGGGCGCACGGUGGAUGCCUUGGCACUAGAAGCCGAUGAAGGACGUUACUAACGACGAUAUGCUUUGGGGAGCUGUAAGUAAGCUGUGAUCCAAAGAUUUCCG
rnacentral:rRNA from 1 species